GGGGAGCUGAUCUCAGAAGAAUGUGAGAUGGAAUUACUAGAAAAAGCUGAAGUUAUUGUGAUUCCUGCUGGAGUACCCAGAAAACCUGGGACUUUAUCCAGCCAAAGUUAAUAUUCCAGUCAUUGGAGGUCAUUCUGGUAUGACCAUUAUACCUGUGAUCUCUCAAGCUAUUCCACCCAUGUCUUUCAAAGAUGAUAAACUGGAUACCAUCACAAAAAGGAUCAUGAGGCUAGAGCUGAAGUAGUGAAAGCCAAAAAUGGGGUAUGCAGGGUUCAGCCAAUCGGCUUAUGCUGGAGCAAGAUUCACCAACUCACUCCUGGAAGCUGUGACAGGAAAGGAAAGAGUAGUGGAGUGUGCCUUUGUAAAAUCUUCUGAAACAGAAGCUGCCUAUUUUCCUUCUCCAGUUCUUUUUGGGGGGAGGUAAACAAAACUUAUUUGACUAUUUGUCCAAAGUAAACUGAAUUGUUUCACUUAUAAGUACUUAGAUUUGAAUGAGUGUUCCUAUUACUGUCCCUUAGCUUCUUAUACUUUUACUUUAUACAAGUUACCAGUUUUUCGUUACAGACUUUUGAUGUAUUGAUACAAUACAUUUCAUCUCAGUAUCUAUAAAUAAAUGGUGACAUUUGUUAGCUGUAUAAGAUUUAGAAUUUUCUCUGUUAAAUUGUAGUCCAAAAAGUAUUGAUAGCUUAA